CUCACACACCCAAAAUCCUUUCCUUUACUGCCCUCAAAAGAAACCUAACAGCCCUCAAAGAAACCUAACAGACUUCUUGCAAUCAAACCCAAGAGUGAAUAUAGCAAAUGAAAGGGUCGAAGCAAUUAUAGAUGAAAUCAAUUGGAUGAGGGAGAGGAAGAGAAGAAUACAGAGAGGGGGGAGAAGACCUAGCGCUCUCCGGCCACAACAGUUGAUAGUUGAUUGCUAUGGCCGUGAAGAUUUGGGGUUCUACAUAUCCCGUGGAAGUUGGCUUGUUCGUUUAUUCGGAGUAAAUUAGGUGUUAAAGUACAUUCAUUUGUACAUGUGGAGAGUUUAAUGUUUAUUGCUGCUGGAGUUUAUUUUGGUUAACAACAUAAACGGCACUAAAAUAUUAUUUGUGGUUGGAACCCUCUUCUGUAUGGCGCAACAAGAUAAAGGGCACUAAAAAACAACCCAUGGAUGCUGUUUGUGGUGGGUCGGGAGUUACUGACCCGUCUACCUUCUGGUUUUGAAACAUUCUGAGCUUUUUGGAAUUAGGCCCUCUUGUAAAAUGGCAAAUUAAAGAAAUGUGGUGAAAGCACCAAAUUGGUGUAUGCUAAUGUCACCACCCAAGAUGUGUCUUCUUUUGGAACCGACUGAUCAGAACAAAGAUGUUGAAACGAAGUUGAAAAAGGCUGAUGGUAUACCAGGUGUGGUUUCAUGCAAAGAAGGUAUAUGAAGGUGACAGAAGUCUCACAAAGAACUGCAGGCUUCUUGGAACAUUUGAUCCCUCCUGAAUCCCUCUAGCUCCAAGGAGGUGAAGGUGUUCAAUGAGCUUGUUCUUUCGGGCACAUCCAAAGGUCUUGUUCAUAUAUUCUUUGCACAAUGUGCAAUCUCAAAGGUACCUAAAGUUACUGAUGUUGGACUAAACCCACGGGUUGUCAACAAAGUUGCUGUUAUUGGUGGAGGUUUAAUGGGAUCCGGAAUAGCUACAGCUCUGAUUCUUGGUAAUAUAAACGUUGUUCACAAGGAAGUCAACUCUGAGUAUCUUCAAAAGGGACUAAAAACUGUAGAAGCAAAUGUCUGAGGUUUGGUUGCAAGAAAGAAGUUAGCACCGGCCUAAGCGGAAAAAGCCUCAUCGAUGAUUAAAGGUGUAUUAGACUACUCAGAAUUUAGAGACGUGGAUAUGGUAUAGAGUUAAGUUUAUCUUUAUAAUGUUGUCUUCUACAAACUAUUUUACAUCCUUAUAACACAAUAUAAGGAAUUCAUAAAAACAUAAUUUUGUAUAAUCCAUCAUAUGUUUAAUGAAGUAUCUUUGUUGAAAUAUUGUCUUUUCCAACAUGUGGCGUCCAUGUCAUUAUCGCCUGAAAAUGGGGUAAAAUGAAACAGUGGGUUAAGUGGGUUUAGAAUUAAAAAAAACAUUUGAUUGGUUAAUUUUUUAGAACUCCAAACUAGCCCAUAUCUAAAGUUUUGAGUGAGGGUUGCACCCUCAAAAUCGAGAAAUUAUGAGGAUAGAUAAGACGCCUGGUUGCAGUUCGGUUGAGAGUAAUGGACGCGUUUAUGAGUUUCUAAUUAGAGAGAAAUCGCACCCUCAAAAUCGAGAAAUUAGUGAGGUCUUGGUUCAUUUGAUGAAACAACUUGUUGGUUUUGAAGAUUUAGAUUGUCAAUUCGUUCUACUGUCAAGUGCUUAGUUAAAUGGCGUCAACUGCAGCUGCAAGUAAAUCAGCUAGAAAUAUCGAGGUUUGCAACAUUCAAGCACCUUACUAGCGUUAUCUUUUCUAGAGGUGGUAAAGUAGAUGGGUUGGGCUGGUCGGACCCGAAACAUGAGGUUGCCGCAAAGUUGCAAAACCAAAACGUUUAUAAAAGCUUUUGGGACGCGAAGAAACCUGGUAGAUUGUGCAGUUUUAGUUAACCAAAGCUGGUUAGUAAACACUUGUCUGGGGGUCUCUUAUUUUGCUAAUGCAGUGUUUUUGUGAUUGUUGGAUUCUGCAGAACUGAAUAGAAGUUCUAUAUCAUUUUUCCAUAUUCAUAAACAUGAAUCCGCUGUAUCGCGUUCGGCCAGAGCAAAAACAAGAGCUACCAAGGUUGGGAAAGGGUUAUUAAAGAAUUGUUAGCCCCAGAAGCUUGCUUUGCAGCAUUGGCUUGAGGCGGUAGUGGAAACCGUGGUUUUACAUGAUUUUUCUAACAUUGUUUAUAUCUCAUCUCUAUUGUUAAUUUUUUUUUGAACGACUAUUUUUAUUGUUAAAAAUUUAAUCUCUGUGAUUUGAACCCAAGAGCUCCCCUUCCUAACCCUUUGUGUUUAAACGCUUUAACUUUGCCAAUUGACCACCACCUUAUUAAGA